UAGCGACAGGCUUAACACAUGCAGGUCGAGGGGCAGCGGGGUAGUGCUUGCACUACUGCCGGCGACCGGCGCACGGGUGAGUAACACGUAUGGAACCUGCCCGCAGCAGGGGGAUAAGCGGAAGAAAUUCCGUCUAAUACCGCGUAAGAACGUUGGGAGGCAUCUCCCGAUGUUUAAAGAUUUAUCGGCUGCGGAUGGCCAUGCGGCGCAUUAGCUAGUCGGCGGGGUAACGGCCCACCGAGGCGACGAUGCGUAGGGGUUCUGAGAGGAAGGUCCCCCACACUGGUACUGAGACACGGACCAGACUCCUACGGGAGGCAGCAGUGAGGAAUAUUGGUCAAUGGCCGAGAGGCUGAACCAGCCAAGUCGCGUGAGGGAAGACGGCCCUACGGGUUGUAAACCUCUUUUGUCGGGGAGCAAAGCGAACCACGUGUGGUUCAUUGAGAGUACCCGAAGAAAAAGCAUCGGCUAACUCCGUGCCAGCAGCCGCGGUAAUACGGAGGAUGCGAGCGUUAUCCGGAUUUAUUGGGUUUAAAGGGUGCGCAGGCGGAGGUGCAAGUCAGCGGUCAAAUUGCGGGGCUCAACCCCGUACUGCCGUUGAAACUGCAUCCCUUGAGUGCGCGAGAAGUAUGCGGAAUGCGUGGUGUAGCGGUGAAAUGCAUAGAUAUCACGCAGAACUCCGAUUGCGAAGGCAGCAUACCGGCGCGCAACUGACGCUCAUGCACGAAAGCGUGGGUAUCGAACAGGAUUAGAUACCCUGGUAGUCCACGCAGUAAACGAUGAACACUAACUGUUCGGCCAGAAUGAUGGCUGAGUGGUACAGCGAAAGCGUUAAGUGUUCCACCUGGGGAGUACGCCGGCAACGGUGAAACUCAAAGGAAUUGACGGGGGCCCGCACAAGCGGAGGAACAUGUGGUUUAAUUCGAUGAUACGCGAGGAACCUUACCCGGGCUCAAACGACACAGGAAUACUUUUGAAAGGAGGUAGCCCUACGGGGUCUGUGUCGAGGUGCUGCAUGGUUGUCGUCAGCUCGUGCCGUGAGGUGUCGGCUUAAGUGCCAUAACGAGCGCAACCCCUAUCGCCAGUUACCAUCAAGUAAAGUUGGGGACUCUGGCGAGACUGCCGGCGCAAGCUGAGAGGAAGGCGGGGAUGACGUCAAAUCAGCACGGCCCUUACGUCCGGGGCGACACACGUGUUACAAUGGCAGGUACAGAGAGAAGCCAGGUGGUGACACCGAGCGGAACUCGAAAGCCUGUCUCAGUUCGGAUCGGAGUCUGCAACCCGACUCCGUGAAGCUGGAUUCGCUAGUAAUCGCGCAUCAGCCAUGGCGCGGUGAAUACGUUCCCGGGCCU
rnacentral:rRNA from 1 species